rnacentral:rRNA from 1 species
CACGUAGGGUGCGAGCGUUGUCCGGAAUUAUUGGGCGUAAAGAGCUCGUAGGCGGUGUGUCGCGUCGGCCGUGAAAACUGUGGCUUAACUAUGGGCUUGCGGUCGAUACGGGCAUCACUGGAGUUCGGCAGGGGAGACUGGAAUUCCUGGUGUAGCGGUGAAAUGCGCAGAUAUCGGGAAGAACACCCGUGGCGAAGGCGGCUCUCUGGGACGGUACUGACGCUGAGACGCGAAAGCGUGGGGAGCGAACAGG